GAUACCUCAUCAACAUGUAGCACCCCAUAAGAACUUCUUCAAUAUUUUUUGGACUUUCUGAGAUCGAUUCUUCAUCAAAAAUGGAAUAUUUUAUAAUAAAAUCAGCUAAUAUUUGAGCUUUCAAUGAAAAUUGAGGUCGGUAAUGAAUAUCAAAUUCACUUAAUUCAAUAGCUCAUUUGGCUAUCCAAUCUAAAGUAUCAAGUUGUUGUAAGAUUGACUUCAAAGGC
rnacentral:lncRNA from 1 species